AUACGUAGGGGGCGAGCGUUGUCCGGAAUGAUUGGGCGUAAAGGGCGCGUAGGCGGCCCGGUAAGUCUGGAGUGAAAGUCCUGUUUUUAAGAUGGGAAUUGCUUUGGAUACUGUCGGGCUUGAGUGCAGGAGAGGUAAGUGGAAUUCCCCGUGUAGCGGUGAAAUGCGUAGAGAUUGGGAGGAACACCAGUGGCGAAGGCGACUUACUGGACUGUAACUGACGCUGAGGCGCGAAAGUGUGGGGAGCAAACAGGAUUAGAUACCCUGGUAGUCCACACUGUAAACGAUGAAUGCUAGGUGUAGGGGGUAUCGACCCCUUCUGUGCCGCAGUCAACACAAUAAGCAUUCCGCCUGGGGAGUACGGCCGCAAGGUUGAAACUCAAAGGAAUUGACGGGG
rnacentral:rRNA from 1 species